UGGGGAAUAUUGCACAAUGGGCGCAAGCCUGAUGCAGCCAUGCCGCGUGUAUGAAGAAGGCCUUCGGGUUGUAAAGUACUUUCAGCGGGGAGGAAGGGAGUAAAGUUAAUACCUUUGCUCAUUGACGUUACCCGCAGAAGAAGCACCGGCUAACUCCGUGCCAGCAGCCGCGGUAAUACGGAGGGUGCAAGCGUUAAUCGGAAUUACUGGGCGUAAAGCGCACACAGGCGGUUUGUUAAGUCAGAUGUGAAAUCCCCGGGCUAAACCUGGGAACUGCAUCUGAUACUGGCAAGCUUGAGUCUCGUAGAGGGGGGUAGAAUUCCAGGUGUAGCGGUGAAAUGCGUAGAGAUCUGGAGGAAUACCGGUGGCGAAGGCGGCCCCCUGGACGAAGACUGACGCUCAGGUGCGAAAGCGUGGGGAGCAAACAGG
rnacentral:rRNA from 1 species